rnacentral:rRNA from 1 species
GUGCUUGCACUCAAUUGGAAAGAGGAGUGGCGGACGGGUGAGUAACACGUGGGUAACCUACCCAUCAGAGGGGGAUAACACUUGGAAACAGGUGCUAAUACCGCAUAACAGUUUAUGCCGCAUGGCAUAAGAGUGAAAGGCGCUUUCGGGUGUCGCUGAUGGAUGGACCCGCGGUGCAUUAGCUAGUUGGUGAGGUAACGGCUCACCAAGGCCACGAUGCAUAGCCGACCUGAGAGGGUGAUCGGCCACACUGGGACUGAGACACGGCCCAGACUCCUACGGGAGGCAGCAGUAGGGAAUCUUCGACAAUGGACGAAAGUCUGACCGAGCAACGCCGCGUGAGUGAAGAAGGUUUUCGGAUCGUAAAACUCUGUUGUUAGAGAAGAACAAGGACGUUAGUAACUGAACGUCCCCUGACGGUAUCUAACCAGAAAGCCACGGCUAACUACGUGCCAGCAGCCGCGGUAAUACGUAGGUGGCAAGCGUUGUCCGGAUUUAUUGGGCGUAAAGCGAGCGCAGGCGGUUUCUUAAGUCUGAUGUGAAAGCCCCCGGCUCAACCGGGGAGGGUCAUUGGAAACUGGGAGACUUGAGUGCAGAAGAGGAGAGUGGAAUUCCAUGUGUAGCGGUGAAAUGCGUAGAUAUAUGGAGGAACACCAGUGGCGAAGGCGGCUCUCUGGUCUGUAACUGACGCUGAGGCUCGAAAGCGUGGGGAGCAA